UCGUCUUCUUCUUCUCCAAAUUCUCCAUCACUUUCUCCUAAUUCUCCAUUAAAUUCUCUUCUUCGUUUCUUCUCCGCUCUUCCUGCUUAUUCUCCUGAUUCAAUGGCUUCAGAUUAUUCAGCAACUCACAUCACUGUUGAUAAUAUUAAUCCAAAGGUUUUGAAAUGUGAGUAUGCUGUUCGUGGAGAGAUUGUAUCAAUUGCUCAGACAUUGCAGCAAAGGCUCAAGGAUAAUCCAGGUUCUCAUCCUUUUGAUGAGAUCUUAUAUUGCAAUAUUGGAAAUCCUCAAGCACUUGCUCAGCAGCCUAUCACUUUCUUUAGAGAGGUCCUUGCGUUAUGUGAUCAUCCAUCCAUUUUGGACAAAAGUGAAACACAAGGUCUAUUCAGCGCGGAUGCCAUAGAACGAGCUUUCCAGAUCCUUGAACAAAUUCCUGGGAGAGCAACUGGUGCAUACAGCCACAGUCAGGGUAUCAAAGGAUUA
rnacentral:misc_RNA from 1 species